ACAGUUAGGCAAAGGCAUUCGGUUUUGCUAGAUAAACGGGUAGCGGUGAAGUUUCUGAGAUUUGGCCGUCCAUCAUGGCGGACAGGAAAUAACAGAACAAGCUUAAGCUACGAGCAGGAACAUUCCACAGGAGCCGGUUCAUGUUGCUGUGGCAGCGACGGGGCAGAUCUAACUGGCUAUUCUGAUCUCUGACGGACGCUUUGCUCUUUAAAACGGCCCAAACGGAGAGAUGGAGCACAGGCCGCCAGUGCUGUGGAUGGUGAGUCAGGGAAUGAAGAAAGAUCAGCCCAUCCUCCCCUUACAAAACACAACACCCCAUCUUUAACAUAACCUCAUCAAACCUCCAGCAGCCGUGCCAACUAGCAAGGGAUGCAGCAUUCAGAACAAACACAAGUACAACGAACGUGCUCAGGACUGUUUGCUGAGGCUGGGGAUUAAAAGGU